rnacentral:lncRNA from 1 species
AUUUAUGACUCUCCUUAUGAACCGAAGUCAAGACUCAGAGUUUCCUGGGAUAUGUUAGUGAAAGCUAUCCUUAAUUGCCCAGUUUUCCUGUUGUAAAAGUAUGAACUGAAAGAUUUUUGCCUUCAUGUGGAUUUCCAUCAGCUGUAGAACCUCACAUUCAUCUGAAGUCAGUAUUCAACAAUGAAGUAAACACUGAGAUAAUUCAGUCAAAGGAGUCCCGAAAGUGCUCUGUGACCAUAUUCAAUUUUUAUCCAGCCCUACAUUUUGCCUGUCUAGAGAGGUUGUUUUCAUUCCUUACAAUUAAGUUCUAAAAUAAAACCGGGACUAGCAAAGAAGUGAGGGGUAAAAAUCUCUUGGAUUCCAAAUCAUGACAUUGUAAAUUCUUAUGAUUACAAAAGAGUAAUGAUCAUUUACACUAGGGAAUUUUUAUCUCAUUGUGUUGAUCAAUUGUCUUUAACUAUUAUGGGCAUUAAUAUAUGCUGUUUUUGUGCUAUACAAACACAUAAUCAACAAUUUUUCCAGCUCCCAAGAGCUUUUACUGUAAAAAGGCAAGGCAGUUUGAUGGUGCAGGAGAAAGUAAUAUAGAGGUGAAUGUCAGCUAUUCAAGGUCAGCGUCUGUCUUUGGUUGAGAAGUGUAGAUGAUAAGGAAAGAGAGGUAAUAAACUGAAUAUAUUUUGGGGGGAAAGAUCACAGGCAGCUAUAACCUUGAGUGCACGUUUAAAAAGAACUCUAAAUAUUCACUUGCUUGAAAGCUUUCAUUGGUACAGCACUUGCAUUUUCACGAACCAUUGCAUGCUGGAUUACAGUACUUCAAAGAGUGGGCCUCUUAACUUUCACUAUGAAAUCCUAUGUACAUGCCCACCGUUAAGACACUUUUCAUUGCAAAUUAAUAUCCCGCAGAAAAGUUGCAGAUGAAAGAGAAGAUCUAUUUAAAUGUUUACUUUUCUUGAGAAAACAAAACAAAACAAAACCAUGGUACUAAGCCUCAUAUUCUUUUCUUUCCCCCUUCAUCCUCGUUUAUGAAUAUUUUCCUGUAGAGUCAACAGGUGAAAUCCCAAUAACAGCCCCGAAAAAAAGAAAGACGUCUAAGGAAAAAGAAGAAAAAGCAACUGAGAAGAAACAUCUGAAAGUUGAAAAACACAAAGGAGGUCCACCAGCAAAAGAAGCUCCAAGACACCACAACCUGACAUCAGCUCCUGUCCGCUACUUUCAAUGUGUUUUCAUAAAUGGACCUAACGGAUUUGGACUGCAGCUUCCUACCAACCCCUCCUCAGACAAGGAAGAAAAGAGUCACUCAAAGAUUUCCAAGAGAAAGACAAGGAAACCAGGGCAGUAGAGAGACUGAGUCCUGUGAUUGCUCGCAUUUUGCACAUUAUCUUUUCUGCUGAGGUCCACAGUAGUCACAGUGGUACUUGUCAUUGCAAGAAUGUGAUCCACUUGGCACAUGUACCUGGAAAAGUUUCCAUGAGACACAGGCAAAGCAAACAGUAAUAAGCUGUGUUUGACAAAGGUAGAGAAGUAAAAGCACCCCAUUUCUCAUGUGGAAAGGCUGCUAACUAAGCAUUGGCCUGAUUGUGUGUGUGAGCGUGUGUGUGAUUUCCUGCCUCUUUUGCUCCUCCUUUUUUUCUUUACCUGCUCAGCAUUAAAGUCAGUCUGUUUUUCAUUUAUUCUUAACUAGGGAGUGAGAGGUUGAACAUAGCUUUUAUAUCAGCAAGAUUGCAAGACUACCUGCAAUUCUAAAUCACUUCUUCGUAAAGUUCAAUCAAAUUGCUGACAGGAGAAAGCCUCACUAAAUCAUGAAAAUGUGCCCUGCAACUGGUGCUAUUUUUAUGUCUCAUUGACCAGUGUGGUUUGAAGUUCACAAUUGCUAUCAGCAGCUCAGCAUACUACCAGUAAGUUGAUUCUUCAAGUCAUGCUAAUGAUGAAUAUUUCUGUUUAGCCUGAAGCAGUUAAAGACACUGUGUGUUUGACCUGCCUGCUGGCAAAAUACAAAUAGUUCACGUUAUAAAGCCCAAAUUGAGAAGAGAAAGUAAAACAACAUGGCAAAGGUGAGAAAAAUCGAUGUUUUAUCAACAUGAAGAUCCCAAGAAACAAGCAAAACAAAACAAAAAUUUUUCCUGUGGGCAAAUCCGAUCAAUUUGCAGCAAAAACCAUGAAAAUUGAGAAUAUACCAGCCAAUCAUUUGCUAUUAGCAUAAGAUGAAAAGCUGUGAUGUAUGAUGCUGGUCACAACAUGAAACCAAUCCAAAUACCCAGUGGUAUACGUGCCAGUUUGUUACAGUGUAAACUGCUAUGCGUUUUCUCAAGCGUCUGUAUGUUUGCAUUUAAUAUGAAAGGUACGGCAGUGAUCUUAGAGACAUAGCUACCAGCUGAAGGAGUAUGAUGCUCAUUGUACAACUGGAUACUUGCAGAAUCUGAUCACACCUGUAACAAUCCAUUGCUCUAUUUUCUGCGUAAUUCUAGGCAAUAUCACUGCUUUACCCCAUUCUCUCUGCCUGCCAACCCAUUCAUAUCUAAAUUAAAUAAUUGACUCACAUGUGUUUCAGACAACUGAAUCUCUGACAAACUCAUGCAAUUCAGAUCGCUUUGUUGUUGCGCAGCUGAGUCAAGUUGACACUGAUUAUUGAUCAUGGCCUCAUGUAGACUGAGAUGCAGUCCCAUAUUGUAUAUGUCCUUUGCUGUAAAAUCUGUGAUUGCAACAAGCAGCUUAGACAGUGGUUUCUGAAAAGAGGUAGGAACAUUCUCUAUGAGUAGCUCUUCCCACACUGGAGCACAUGGCAGACAAAAAAGUUCAGGCCUCCGCUGUUACCUGUGAAAUCAGUUUUGCAGAUGUACAGGGAUAUAGAGCUGUUGGCAGAGAAUAUUUCAUGAUAAAAUGUCACUUGUUAAUUUUCUUUCAGUAGGCCUUUUUAUAUUUCCAGUGUUGCUUUGUUUUGGUGUUUUUUUCCCCCAGUUUAUGAUUAUGUGUAUAAUACUAUGGAUGUUAGUGCCCUCGGCUUUUAUUGUGAAAGCUGUCUUAAAAUAAGACUAUAACUUUCCAGAAAUCAUUUAAUUUAGUUUAGGACUUUAUCCAACUUCAAUAUUUUACUGCACUAUAAGCCUUCAUUCUUUUCAACUUCUUUUACCACAUUCAAUUCCAUACACUAUGAUUAGCCAUAACACUUUUUCUCAUUUGAGUUGAGAGAUGGCAAGGUUAUGUUUCAUGUAUCAUUCCCAUAAUGUCUCAGCUAUACAUCUGAGUGCUCUGUAAACAGAAAUACUGAAUAUCACUGAAAAAGUAAUAUAAAAUAAGCUAUUUAUUUUUCUUCCCUAAUAUCAAUCUGAUUUCCUCUAAGAACAGAGGAAACGUUUGCGCUCCCAAAAUGGCAAGCAUUUUUCUCUUUAAAUUCAACUGGAACCUUAAAAAGUAUUAUGUGAAUUGCAUGGCUUUAGUCAAAUUAGCCUGAAGUAUUUCAAAAUCAUAUGCUGAUUGUUAUCUGUUUUGAGAAAUAAAGAAUAUGUACUCUGUUUCUGUGACUCUAAGAUUGUUUUUGUGAAUGCAAAAGUGGAAGGUAAGGGUUCAUGUAUGUAAACUUUUUAUCCCUAAGUAAUUACAAAUCC